rnacentral:rRNA from 1 species
UACGACUACAUAUCAGGCAUAUCAAUAAGCGGAGGAAAAGAAACUAACAAGGAUUCCCUUAGUAACGGCGAGUGAAGCGAGAAGAGCUCAAAUUUGAAAUCUUCAAGGUUCUACCUUGACGAAUUGUAGUUUAAAGAAGUGUUUUCUGUUAGUGGAGUGGCAAAAGUUCUUUGGAAUAGGACAUCAUAGAGGGUGAGAAUCCCGUAUUUGGUCAUUCCUUCUAGCUUUGUGAUACACUUUCAAAGAGUCGGAUUGUUUGGGAAUGCAGUCCAAAAUGGGUGGUAAAUUUCAUCUAAAGCUAAAUAUUGGCGAGAGACCGAUAGCGAACAAGUACCGUGAGGGAAAGAUGAAAAGAACUUUGAAAAGAGAGUUAAACAGUACGUGAAAUUGUCAAAAGGGAAGCGUUUGACACCAGUGUUGUUUUUCCGAAAAUCAAUUAUAAAUGUUUUGUUUCUGAGGAGUGAUGACUUCAUCGGCUUCCUUCUCUCUUCACGAAACUUUUGUAAUGCACUUUUCGGUUAACAAGUCAACAUCAAUUUCUUUUGUUGUAAAAGAGUAUUCGGAAGGUGGCUUUCUUUUCGGAGAAAGUGUUUAUAGCCUUAUACCUCUACAAUCGGAGAGAUUGAGGUCUGCAGCGUAGAUCCUUCGGGGCUAGAUACACUUGUGCUAAGUUAUAGCUUUUCAUAGACAACUUGUUGACUAUGUUUAGUCAUGUAGCUUACCCGCUUGUGCUAUUUUACCUACGCUUAGGAUGUUGAUCUACAGAGCGAGAGU